rnacentral:rRNA from 1 species
CUGGAGGUAUCAGAAGUGCGAAUGCUGACAUAAGUAACGAUAAAGCGGGUGAAAAGCCCGCUCGCCGGAAGACCAAGGGUUCCUGUCCAACGUUAAUCGGGGCAGGGUGAGUCGACCCCUAAGGCGAGGCCGAAAGGCGUAGUCGAUGGGAAACAGGUUAAUAUUCCUGUACUUGGUGUUACUGCGAAGGGGGGACGGAGAAGGCUAUGUUGGCCGGGCGACGGUUGUCCCGGUUUAAGCGUGUAGGCUGGUUUUCCAGGCAAAUCCGGAAAAUCAAGGCUGAGGCGUGAUGACGAGGCACUACGGUGCUGAAGCAACAAAUGCCCUGCUUCCAGGAAAAGCCUCUAAGCAUCAGGUAACAUCAAAUCGUACCCCAAACCGACACAGGUGGUCAGGUAGAGAAUACCAAGGCGCUUGAGAGAACUCGGGUGAAGGAACUAGGCAAAAUGGUGCCGUAACUUCGGGAGAAGGCACGCUGAUAUGUAGGUGAAGUCCCUCGCGGAUGGAGCUGAAAUCAGUCGAAGAUACCAGCUGGCUGCAACUGUUUAUUAAAAACACAGCACUGUGCAAACACGAAAGUGGACGUAUACGGUGUGACGCCUGCCCGGUGCCGGAAGGUUAAUUGAUGGGGUUAGCGCAAGCGAAGCUCUUGAUCGAAGCCCCGGUAAACGGCGGCCGUAACUAUAACGGUCCUAAGGUAGCGAAAUUCCUUGUCGGGUAAGUUCCGACCUGCACGAAUGGCGUAAUGAUGGCCAGGCUGUCUCCACCCGAGACUCAGUGAAAUUGAACUCGCUGUGAAGAUGCAGUGUACCCGCGGCAAGACGGAAAGACCCCGUGAACCUUUACUAUAGCUUGACACUGAACAUUGAGCCUUGAUGUGUAGGAUAGGUGGGAGGCUUUGAAGUGUGGACGCCAGUCUGCAUGGAGCCGACCUUGAAAUACCACCCUUUAAUGUUUGAUGUUCUAACGUUGACCCGUAAUCCGGGUUGCGGACAGUGUCUGGUGGGUAGUUUGACUGGGGCGGUCUCCUCCUAAAGAGUAACGGAGGAGCACGAAGGUUGGCUAAUCCUGGUCGGACAUCAGGAGGUUAGUGCAAUGGCAUAAGCCAGCUUGACUGCGAGCGUGACGGCGCGAGCAGGUGCGAAAGCAGGUCAUAGUGAUCCGGUGGUUCUGAAUGGAAGGGCCAUCGCUCAACGGAUAAAAGGUACUCCGGGGAUAACAGGCUGAUACCGCCCAAGAGUUCAUAUCGACGGCGGUGUUUGGCACCUCGAUGUCGGCUCAUCACAUCCUGGGGCUGAAGUAGGUCCCAAGGGUAUGGCUGUUCGCCAUUUAAAGUGGUACGCGAGCUGGGUUUAGAACGUCGUGAGACAGUUCGGUCCCUAUCUGCCGUGGGCGCUGGAGAACUGAGGGGGGCUGCUCCUAGUACGAGAGGACCGGAGUGGACGCAUCACUGGUGUUCGGGUUGUCAUGCCAAUGGCACUGCCCGGUAGCUAAAUGCGGAAGAGAUAAGUGCUGAAAGCAUCUAAGCACGAAACUUGCCCCGAGAUGAGUUCUCCCUGACUCCUUGAGAGUCCUGAAGGAACGUUGAAG